CAAGUAAAUGAAGAUGACCAGAUUAUGCAUACUCUCUCUGGUCUUGGCUCAGAGUAUGACUCUGUCAUGGUUACUAUUACAUCUAAACCCGAAGUGUGGAGCUUGGGUGAUGUGAGUUCCUUACUUUUGAGUUUUGAGC